GGACAAGGGGAAUCCGACUUUUUAAUUAAAACAAAACAUUGCAAUGGUCCUCGCGGAUGCUGACGCAAUGUGAUUUCUGACCAGUGCAUUGAUGUCAAAGUGAACAAAUUCAACCAAGCACGGGUAAACAGCGGGAGUAAUUAUGUCUCUCUUAAGGUAGCCCAAUGCCUCGUCAUCUAAUUAGUGACACACAUGAAUGGAGGGAGCUCCU
rnacentral:rRNA from 1 species